rnacentral:rRNA from 1 species
GACGAACGCUGGCGGCGUGCUUAACACAUGCAAGUCGAACGAUGAAGCUAGAGCUUGCUCUGGUGAAUUAGUGGCGAACGGGUGAGUAACACGUGAGUAACCUGCCCCGAACUCUGGGAUAACUGCUGGAAACGGUAGCUAAUACUGGAUACGACCUACGAAGGCAUCUUCUGUAGGUGGAAAGAAUUUCGGUUCGGGAUGGACUCGCGGCCUAUCAGCUCGUUGGUGAGGGAAUGGGUCACCAAGGCGACGACGGGUAGCCGGCCUGGGGGGGUGGCCGGGCACACGGGGCCUGAGACACGGCCCAGACUCCGACAGGAGGCAGCAGUGGGAAAUAUUGCACAAUGGGCGCAAGCCUGAUGCAGCAUCGCCGCGUGAGGGAUGACGGCCUUCGGGUUGUAAACCUCUUUUAGUAGGGAAGAAGCGAAAGUGACGGUACCUGCAGAAAAAGCACCGGCUAACUACGUGCCAGCCGCCGCCGUAA